AGCAGCCGCGGUAAUUCCAGCUCCAAUAGCGUAUAUUAAAGUUGUUGCAGUUAAAAAGCUCGUAGUUGAAUUUCGGGGUUAGUAGGUUGGUCAUGCCUCUGGUAUGUACUGGUCUCACUGAUUCCUCCUUCUUUAUGAACCGUAAUGCCAUUAAUUUGGUGUUGCGGGGAAUUUGGACUGUUACUUUGAAAAAUUAGAGUGUUUAAAGCAAGCUAACGCUUGAAUACAUUAGCAUGGAAUAAUGAAAUAGGACGUUCGAUCUUAUUUUGUUGGUUUCUAGGAUUGACGUAAUGAUUAAUAGGGAUAGUUGGGGCAUUAGUAUUCAAUUGUCAGAGGUGAAAUUCUUGGAUUUUAUUGAAGACUAACUACUGCGAAAGCAUUUUUGCCAAGGAUGUUUUCAUUAAUCAAGAACGAAAGUUAGGGGAUCGAAGACGAUCAGAUACCGUCGUAGUCUUAACCAUAAACUAUGCCGAACUAGGGAUCGGAUGAUGUUAAUUUUUAAUG
rnacentral:rRNA from 1 species